ensembl:lncRNA
CUGCUGGUUAAACUGCUUACCCUACCUUUGGUCUACAGUCUUAAAUUUACCACAGGCAAUACAUAUGGAAAACUCUGUGGAGGGCUUAUAUGACCUCCUUCCUACAUACCUAUUAUAAUAUUUGAACUAAGUGACAAAAUGAUAUUUAUGGAGAGAGUGACAAAUAUGGUGUAUGACCUAUAUUUUGACUUUGCAUGAGACUUUUAACAAGAAGUGGGAUAAAUUUUACAGUGAAGUAUUAGGAAGACCCACUACAAUCUGUGAAUUAAUGAGAAAACUGAUUUUUGGUUGAUAAAAAGCUCUUGGGAUUUUGAAUUUCCCCAACCAUUCUUACCAAAUUUUGAUUUUGUUGGAGGACUUCACUGAAAACCUGCCAAACCCCUGCACAAGAAUCCUGUCAUCCUGGGACAAAUUACUAAGCCAUUGUUUCUGGAUCUUAGCAAUAUUUAACAGAGAAUGAGAAAAAAAUUCCUGGUCCUGCU